rnacentral:tmRNA from 1 species
GGGGUCGUUCUGGCUUUGACGGGGGACCGAUCUAGCCUGGACUGCAGUGGCGUGAUGAGCCAAAACAUCAAAACACAAUAACUGACAACAGUUAUCUUUAUGCGAACCGCGCUCAACGCGUUUCGUAUGCUGCCGCCUAAUCGGUAACCUACGGGUUCCCUAGCUCAGUCUAGGGGGAGCACAUCCUCUGACGGUUUCGUGCCUUACCGUCACUUCGGGUGCGAAAUAAGGCAAUAAGCGCUAAGCCUUGGCUAGGGCCAUGCGACGAAAAUCUUACUAGCCUCGCGAUUCGAGUCUGACUCUAUCAUUUCGAAUCGUUAAAUCCAUGGUAGGGCCUAAACUGUAGAGGUCCUUGUGGGAGAUCCUUCGGACAGGGGUUCAAUUCCCCUCGACUCCACCA